AAAUGACUCUCGGCAACGGAUAUCUCGGCUCUUGCAUCGAUGAAGAACGUAGCGAAAUGCGAUACUUGGUGUGAAUUGCAGAAUCCCGCGAACCAUCAAUUCUUUGAACGCAAGUUGCGCCUGAAGCCAUUCGGCCGAGGGCACGCCUGCCUGGGUGUCGUGAAU
rnacentral:rRNA from 1 species